CGGUGGAGCAUGUGGUUUAAUCGAAGCAACGCGAAGAACCUUACCAGGCCUUGACAUGCAGAGAACUUUCCAGAGAUGGAUUGGUGCCUUCGGGAACUCUGACACAGGUGCUGCAUGGCUGUCGUCAGCUCGUGUCCGUGAGAUGUUGGGUUAAGUCCCGCAACGAGCGCAACCCUCGUCCUUAGUUGCCAGCAUUCAGUUGGGCACUCUAAGGAGACUGCCGGUGUUAAACCGGAGGAAGGCGGGGAUGACGUCAAGUCCUCAUGGCCCUUAUGUCCAGGGCUACACACGUGCUACAAUGGCCGGUACAAAGGGUAGCAAGACCGCGAGGUGGAGCCAAUCCCAAAAAGCCGGUCUCAGUUCGGAUUGGAGUCUGCAACUCGACUCCAUGAAGUUGGAAUCGCUAGUAAUCGUGGAUCCAGCAUCGCACGUGAAUACGUCCGGCU
rnacentral:rRNA from 1 species